AUUCUGGGCAAAAAAAGGGAAGAGAGGCUGAGCCGAGCUACAGUCAAAAAGUCCGCGGGUCUGUCGAAAUAGCAAUAUGAAGAUCAAGGACGCCAAGAAGCCUUCAUUCCCUUGGUUUGGAAUGGAUAUUGGUGGAACGCUAGUGAAACUAGUUUAUUUUGAGCCAAUUGAUAUUACAGUUGAAGAGGAGGAGGAAGAGGUAGAAAGCCUAAAAAGUAUUCGUAAGUACUUGCUGUCAAAUGUUGCCUAUGGAUCUACGGGCAUCCGAGAUGUGCAUCUUGAGCUCAAAGACUUGACGCUUUGUGGCCGCAAAGGAAACCUGCACUUUAUUCGAUUUCCUACACAUGACCUACCUACCUUCAUUCAAAUGGGCAGAGAUAAGAAUUUUUCAACACUACAUACAGUGCUCUGUGCCACUGGAGGGGGUGCUUAUAAAUUUGAAGAAGAAUUUCGAAUGAUUGGCAAUCUGCAGUUACAUAAACUGGAUGAAUUGGACUGCCUGGUCAAUGGCCUCUUGCACAUUGACUCUCUCAGUUUUAAUGGUCAAGCAGAAUGUUAUUAUUUUGAGAAUGCCUCAGACCCUGAGAAGUGCCAGAAGAUGCCUUUCAACCUUGAUGACCCCUACCCUUUGCUUGUGGUGAACAUUGGGUCAGGAGUUAGCAUAUUAGCUGUAUAUUCAAAGGACCAGUAUAAGAGAGUAACUGGAACCAGUUUAGGAGGUGGAACCUUCCUGGGCCUCUGUUGUUUACUUACAGGUUGUGAGACUUUUGAUGAAGCCCUUGAAAUGGCAUCUAAGGGUGACAGCACCAUGGCUGACAAACUAGUAAGGGACAUCUAUGGGGGAGAUUAUGAACGCUUUGGUUUGCCAGGUUGGGCAGUUGCAUCCAGCUUUGGCAACAUGAUUUGCAGGGAGAAGCGAGAUUCAGUCAGCAAAGAAGACCUCGCAAGGGCUACAUUGGUCACCAUCACAAACAACAUAGGAUCCAUUGCCCGUAUGUGUGCAGUGAAUGAGAAGAUAAAUAGAGUUGUUUUUGUUGGCAACUUCCUGCGAGUCAAUACACUUUCAAUGAAACUCCUGGCCUAUGCACUCGAUUAUUGGUCAAGAGGUCAGCUGAAGGCAUUGUUCCUGGAACAUGAGAUCUGUGAUGAAUUUGGAUGGAGAUGAAUAAGUUCCACAUGAAAGAAAUGGUGAAACCAAAAACAUGUGAUUGAUGAGGAAGACCAAGAGUAGAUCCGUACAAAAUUGGCAGUUGACGGGUUACUUUGGAGCAGUAGGUGCCCUGCUUGGACUUCUCAAUUCCACUUAAAAGUCAAGGCACUCAACAUCCUGGUGAUAUCUGAAGAAAUGCACAUGUCGACAUGAUGGUUUAAAAUAGAAAGAUUCACCCAGGGUAACAAAACCUUGUGAAAAUAUUGAGUCACACUACAGGCUGACUGUAUUACUGAAGUAUUCUUUCUACUUGAAAAGUUUAAAAAAAGUACAGAUUUUUAAAAAUUGAGUCCAAUGUAUUAGGCAUUAAGCCACUGCAUACCUUCUCAGUACAUCGCUGCUGCAAAUGGCCAUGUCCAUGAGGGUUGUUCGAUUUUGUUAAUCUAAUCUUUAUUUAACCUUUAUCCUAUUCAAAUGGUAUCCAAAAUAUCUCGAAUUGUACGUAUGAAAAUCUUGCUUGGACAUCCGAAACCUCUGGCUAAUUAUUUGCAGAAAGAUAAGCGUAGUGUUUCACGGAUGCAAUAAAUAAAUUGUGUGCAACAGAAUCUGGGAGUAAGGUAUCUGCCUUGUGGGGAGUAGUUUUGACUGACUCAAGGAUCCUUACUUAGUAAUACAGAUUUGUUUUAAACACACUUUAUUUAGAGAAUCACUGCAGAUAAAAUGCAUACAAUUGAGCAAAAUGGGCCAUUUUCAGGCAAAAAAAAUGCAGCAAAAAUGUGACCCCUUCUGUCUAGGAAGGCCAAGGUACGUGUUUAUGUACAUACCAAAAGUGGCUUUUAUUUAUUUUUUAAAGCACUUGUUAGUUUUAUUCAGGAAAUGUUUGUAUUUUGUAUGGGAGAGGUAGAAUUCUACCGACUUCUGAAAUCACUGGAAAUAUUUCAUUCUCUAGAAUGCCUUAAGCCCACACCAAGAACAUGUGCAUACUAUAGUGCAUCCUAACAAAGAAAUGGGACAAACUAAAUUUGCACAUCACUUGGGCUUAUCCUCAUAUCGGAAUUAUACUUUUUGAAGGUAAUAGGGGCAUAUUUCAUUGUUGGGUAAAUUAUAUCUGACCAAAUGGUCUCCUAAAACAUUGGCACAGAGUUUGUGAGUGCUCAUUGUAUAUGGGAUUGGAUCACCUCUUGACGUUCCUUAAUCGUGUCUAUUUUAAUAUAUGUUUGAAAUUUACAACAGAGUAUUAAUUUAAUGUUGGAUUUUUUUUGAAAGGUGCAAUAGUCUAUGACUAGUACCUUCUAUAUUAAUGUGCAGCGAUUUCAAACUAAGUGACUAAUGAUUGCAAGAUACGGUAAUGUUGGUAAUAACCAACUGAUUCAUAGAAAAUGAUGCAGGCAGUAUUAAAUAUCACUUGAUUCUGUUUCCUUCUGCUAAUCGGCUACUAUUGUCAGUCCAUCACUUGUGCAGUGGUUAUGUGUCAAAUGUCCAAUAUAGCUUUCACCACCUUAUGUGAAACAUGCUCCUAAUCUAAGUUAAAAUAACACAGACAACUAAUUUAAUAAAGUCGCUAUAAAUUUUAUUUUA